rnacentral:misc_RNA from 1 species
UGAAAAUGAGAAUACUGAUUCAAAGGUACACUUGAUGCGAGACCAAAUUAUUAUGGCAAGGGUCUAUAUAAGCAUUGCAACGAUGAAGAAGAAGCCUGGCUUGGCUCAAGAGUUACAGAAGCAGCUUAAAGAAAGUCGACAUGCGUUAGGUGAAGCAAUGUAUGAUGCUGAUCUAACUCGCAGUGCGCAUGAGAAGAUUAAAUCAAUGGACCAAGUGCUUUCCAAAGCUAAAGAGCAACUCUAUGACUGUAAGCUUGUCACAGGGAAGCUGAGAGCAAUACUGCAGUCUGCGGAUGAGCAAGUUAGAAGUUUAAAGAGGCAGAGCACAUUUUUGAGCCAAUUAGCUGCAAAG